rnacentral:rRNA from 1 species
AUGAGGAGAGAAUCCUAAGGCCAACGGGAGAAGGGUUGUUAAGGAACUCGGCAAAAUUACCCCGUAACUUCGGGAUAAGGGGAGCCCCCUACGGGGGGCCGCAGAGAAUAGGCCCAAGCGACUGUUUACCAAAAACACAGGUCUAUGCUAAAUCGAAAGAUGACGUAUAUGGGCUGACGCCUGCCCGGUGCUGGAAGGUUAAGAGGAGAGCUUAGCGCAAGCGAAGGUUUGAAUUGAAGCCCCAGUAAACGGCGGCCGUAACUAUAACGGUCCUAAGGUAGCGAAAUUCCUUGUCAGGUAAGUUCUGACCCGCACGAAUGGCGUAACGAUUUGGGCGCUGUCUCAACAGCCCACCCGGCGAAAUUGUAGUACUGGUGAAGAUGCCAGUUACCCGCAACUAGACGGAAAGACCCCAUGGAGCUUUACUGUAGCUUAAUACUGGAAAUCGGUAAAUCAUGUACAGGAUAGGUGGGAGACUUGGAAGCCAGGGCGUCAGCUUUGGUGGAGUCACCCUUGGGAUACCACCCUUGAUUUGCUGGUUUUCUAACCUGCGGCCGUGAAUCCGGUCGGGGGACACUGUUAGGUGGGCAGUUUGACUGGGGCGGUCGCCUCCAAAAAGGUAACGGAGGCGCUCAAAGGUUCGUUCAGCACGGACGGAAAUCGUGCAGUGAGUGUAAACGCAUAAACGAGCCUAACUGCGAGACCGACGGGUCGAGCAGUAACGAAAGUUGGAGUUAGUGAUCCGGCGGUAUGUGAGUGGAAAUGCCGUCGCUCAACGGAUAAAAGCUACCCUGGGGAUAACAGGCUGAUCUCCCCCAAGAGUCCACAUCGACGGGGAGGUUUGGCACCUCGAUGUCGGCUCAUCACAUCCUGGGGCUGAAUUCGGUCCCAAGGGUUCGGCUGUUCGCCGAUUAAAGUGGCACGCGAGCUGGGUUCAGAACGUCGUGAGACAGUUCGGUCCCUAUCUGUUG